rnacentral:rRNA from 1 species
UACGGAGGAUGCGAGCGUUAUCCGGAUUUAUUGGGUUUAAAGGGUGCGUAGGCGGUCCGUUAAGUCAGCGGUAAAAUUGCGGGGCUCAACCCCGCCGAGCCGUUGAAACUGGCAGACUUGAGUUGGCGAGAAGUACGCGGAAUGCGCGGUGUAGCGGUGAAAUGCAUAGAUAUCGCGCAGAACUCCGAUUGCGAAGGCAGCGUACCGGCGCCAGACUGACGCUGAGGCACGAAAGCGUGGGGAUCGAACAGG